UACGUAGGUGGCAAGCGUUGUCCGGAUUUACUGGGCGUAAAGAGCGCGCAGGCGGUCGUUCAAGUCGAGUGUGAAAGCCCCCCGGCUCAACUGGGGAGGGUCACUCGAUACUGAUCGACUCGAAGGCAGAAGAGGGAAGCGGAAUUCCCGGUGUAGUGGUGAAAUGCGUAGAUAUCGGGAGGAACACCAGUGGCGAAGGCGGCUUUCUGGUCUGCUCUUGACGCUGAGGCGCGAAAGCUAGGGUAGCAAACGGGG
rnacentral:rRNA from 1 species